CAAUAGCGUAUAUUAAAGUUGUUGCGGUUAAAAAGCUCGUAGUUGGAUUUCUGCUGAGAACGACCGGUCCGCCCUUUGGGUGUGUAUCUGGCUCUUUCUUGGCAUCUUCUUGGUGAACGUUGCUGCACUUGACUGUGUGGAGCGCUACCCAGGACUUUUACUUUGAGGAAAUUAGAGUGUUUCAAGCAGGCAUACGCCUUGAAUACAUUAGCAUGGAAUAAUAAGAUAGGACCUCGGUUCUAUUUUGUUGGUUUCUAGAGCUGAGGUAAUGAUUAAUAGGGAUAGUUGGGGGCAUUCGUAUUUAACUGUCAGAGGUGAAAUUCUUGGAUUCGUUAAAGACGGACUACUGCGAAAGCAUUUGCCAAGGAUGUUUUCAUUGA
rnacentral:rRNA from 1 species